CCUGGAAACGGAGAUCGGCGGGGAGGGCGUCGUGUUCACCACGCACGUCUUCUCCACCACCGUGCAGGCCUGAGCCAGUGCAGCGCCUGGCCCUGGACAGGCUCCUGGGACAGACGGGCGGUGGUCUCAGGCGUAGACCCCUCUCCAGCCCCACCGCUGGGCUAUGCCGGGUAGUGCAGGGGAGACACACAAGGCUCUGGGGCAGGAGCUCCUCAGGACAACAUGUCAGGAGGACCAGCCGGGACCUGAGGGGGCCUGUGGGAGAGGAUGACGCUGCCCAGCAGGGGCGAGCUGACGAAUACAGUGUGGGCCGUGAGAGCGAUGACGACCCACGCUGCACCGCAGCUGAGCCGCGAGGGGGAAGUCAGUCACUGAGGACAGCAUGCCGUGUGACUCCAUCCAGGAGAAACGUCUGGAACAGGCAGCACAAUGGACAGAAAGGAGACCGUGGCUGCUGGGACUGGGGGAGGGGCAGUGGGGAAAGGGCUGCUUUUUGGGGUGAUGGGAUGUUCUGGAAUUGAUGCGGGGUGGCUGCACAGCUCUGUGGCUGCACUGAACACCAUGGCUGCACACUGAUGUGGUGAGCCAGCUGGGAUGGGCGUUACGCCUCAGUGAACCCUGACCCCUGACCCCGGCUGCCCGGUGCACAGGGGCAGGGCUGUGGUAGAGCUGGGCCCCUGUCUCAUCCCCACACCCAGGUCUCAUCUCCACAGAGCAGCUCGCCCUGUGACUCUGGGCCGCAUCCCCUGGGCUCAUCUCUUCUCCGCUGCCCUGAAACGUACAGAUUUGUCUCCAUGUUUGACCAGUCCCUAGAGGAACUCAGGGCUCACCUGCAAGGUGUUCAUCCGCCUUCCAUUCAAGUACAAGGGGAAGCUGACGAAGUUGCUGUACUUCGUUACCACAUCUGGAAGGGACAAAAGAAAAACCACACUGCAUCUACAAUGCUUGUGGAAACGCAAGCUUUGCAGCAGCUCCAGGAUGAGCGCCAGCCUGCUGGGAAGGGUCCUCCAUGCUGUGUACACUUCACAGGUACAGAAACAGGGCACAGUGGGGACACCUGUCCUCCCCCCAGUCUCACGGGGGCAGCAGCGGAGCCCACGUGAGAACCAGAGCUGUGGAGGCCCCGGCUGCUGCGAGACUGCAAUGUCAGCUUGUGGCUGGAACAUGGCUUUCUGGGCUGACUCCUGGGGGUACUCAGGGCCUCCCUGAGUGUCCAGCAGGACACAAAGAGGGAAGGCCACGCCCACAUCCUGGGACAGGACUGCGCCAAACCCCCAGGUGCACUAAAGGCCAAGGGCCACGCAGAGGAAGGAGGAGGAGGUCCGCCUCAGCCAGGCCAGCUUCCUCCCAGUCCCAGCAGGAGCUCGAUGCUACGCAGCCCUGGCGGGCAGCCCCCCUCCCAGUCCCGCAGCGGCUCGGCCCUUCACGGCUCUGCCUGUGCACCCUACGUGCAGGUAGAACCAGGGAAAAUGCCUGCUGACCUGGUGGCCUCCAGGCCACACAUGGAUCCCAGAGUGAGCCUGGGCCCGGGCUCCCGCUCACCUCGCACCCGGGCCUCGCUGGAAAACUCCUUGCAGUCGGAUUUCAGGUGGAUGAUGAUUUUUGUCCCGGUUCUAACUCCCGAAGCUUCGGCGAUUUCAAACACUCCAGAACUAAGGCAGGCAAAGAAAGGAAAAGCCAGGUGGAUGUGACACUGGGACAUACCCUGCAUGGGACUCCAGCGGUUCCCGAGGGUUUCAUAGGCAGAGCCCAAACAACACACAACACACCUCAAAUGCCCCAUUUCUGACCCCAGCGCACCACUCAGGCCAUCACAUGCCCAUCAGGAACGAUGAGCCUGUCGCAGGCGGCAGAGUUCUCCUGGUUCCCUCGGGCGGGGGGCGGGGGGGCGGGGGUCCUCCACCGACCCUGGGCUUCGAAGAAGCUUCUGGGCUUACCCCAAAAGCAGGCCUGGGGCACUGUGGGGGACUGGCCCAGCUCCAAAUCGGGUGCCAGAUGCCCAGGGGCAAAAACAAAGGCCAGGGGGACAGGCGCCCCCUAAGAAGAGCAGAAAACCAUCUCCGAAGCACAGGAGGGGGGAAUCCCCCGGCAGGGCCAUGUUGAUGCCUUGGCCUAAGUUUACUCUGAGCCCCGCUCCCAUGGAAUUAAACAGGAAUGUUAGUUUUGGGAGAGUGGGGAGUCAAGCUGAGCACAGUGCACACACUGUGGAGCAGAAAUGGCAUCACGGAGGGAGGACGCCUCGGCUGGCUGGAAGCGGCUCACCUGCUAAAAAGCCCUCGGAGCCAGGCGUGGUGGCUCACGUCUAUAAUCCCAGCACUUUGGGAGGCCAAGACGGGCAGAUCACCUGAGGUCGGGGUUCGAGACCAGUCUGACCAACAUGGAGAAACCCUGUCUCUACUAAAAAUACAAAAUUAGCUGGGCGUGGUGGCAUGCGCCUGUAGUCCCAGCUACUCAGGAGGCUGAGGCAGGCCAAUUGCUUGAACCUGGGAGGCGGAGGUGGCAGUGAGCCAAGAUUGUGCCAUUGCACUCCAGCCUAGGCAACAAGAGUAAAACUCCGUCCCAAAGGAAAAAAAAAAAAAAAAAGCCCCCAGCAGGCUCCUCACCCUAUAGAGGCAGAAGUGGGCUGGGGAGACAAAGCCAGGAAAUGCCAGGGCUGGGAGGAAGCAGAAUGAGCUCUUGCAGAAGGUCGGUCACAGGAGGCUGCAUAGUGUCCACCAGGCGACAGGCCAGUCCUGCAGCUCAGCCACUGAGAAAGGAGCUCAGCGCGGGCCGGACCUGCCUUCCCGAGCGCAGUGGUGGUGACCAACCACAUGGGACCAGACAGGUGCCAUAGGCCACCUGGAGCCACAAAAGUCACUAACUCCCCAAAAUGGGAGAGUCAGAUUUCAUAUAAAAAGCCCAGAAAAUGCCUGUGUACGUUUUCUGAGUCCAUCCCUUUCCAAACUCCAUGCUAAGGGCUCCAGCUCAGCUUUGAGCUGCCUGUCAGGCGACAUUCGUCACUCACCCAUCUGAAAGCCACUGGUAACCCAGGCUCCCCGGGGCUGCCGAGCGGGAAUAGACCUCCACUCUGUCAGCCACCAUGAAAGCUGAGUAGAAACCCACUCCAAACUGGCCGAUGAUCUUGCUGCUGGCCUCAGCCUGGUUCUGCAGAGCAUCCAGGAAGGCCUGUGGGGCAGAGGCCAGUUAGUGAGGCAGCCUCCCCUCCAGAGAGCAGACACUCCCAACACCGUGGCUCUUCUGCGAGCACCGCUAAGACCCCUUCAUCCUGAAAACAGCCACACCGAGUACUUUUCCACCCCAUUCUACACGUGAAGAGCUAAGUCACAGAGAGGUGACACAUUAGCCCUAGGACAACCAGCUGGCAGCAGUGGGACAAGUGUGUUUUCCAUUUGAUUCCCAAAGCUCACAGUCCUGCCUGUCCCAGACAGGUGGAGGCCUGUGGGUCACACCUGGGGGUGGGGAAAGAGCAGCUUGAAUAAGCUCUUUCCCUUGAAUAAGCUCCUUCCAUAGGAAGGCCAGGAGUGAGGAGAGGCUCCAAACUGGCUUCCAUAUUCAAGUCUCCUGGACUCUACACUUUGUGGGAAAAAGAGUAGAAAUCACGCGCAUGCGUCUGUAAGCACCGCACAGCACUUCAUUUUUCUACUAUAAUACUGCCAAAGGUCCUAAGGCCAAAGUCAAGUAAAAUACACACGCCCACUGCCCUGGCCCACGUUGUCCGAUGGAACUUUCUCCAACAACAGGAACGUUCUGCCAGGUGCAAUGCGACAGCCUGCCGAGCACCUGCAAUGUGGCCUGUGCAGCUGAGGAGCACAAUGUCCCCUUUUAUUUAAUUUGAAUGCAUUUACAUUUAAACUGCCACAUGCAGCUGGUGGCCGCUACACAGGACAGCAGACCAACCUCGAGAGAAAUACAACAAAAGACGUAACGUGGGGGUCAAGUCACAGUUAGGGUGGGUUUUUUGUUUGUUGUUGUUGUUGUUGUUGUUUUUGAGAUGGAGUGUCGCUCUGUCGCGCAGGCUGGAGCGCGGUGGCGUGAUCUCAGCUCACUGCAACCUCUGCCUCCCGGGUUCAAGUGAUUCUCCCGCCUCAGCCUCCCGAGUAGCUGGGAUGACAGGUACCACCACCACGCCCAGCUAAUUUUUGUAUUUUUAGUAGAGACGGGGUUUCACCGUGUUAGCCAGGAUGGUCUCCAUCUCCUGACCUCGUGAUCCACCUGCCUCGGCCUCCCAAAGUACUGGGGUUACAGGCGUGAGCCACCGCACCCGACCUAGUGUUUUCAUCUUACAGAUGAGGAGACUGAAGUAAGUGCUUUGCCCAGAGCUGGAAAAGGGCGACCGCUGGAGGUUCCCAGGCUGUUGGUCUGAGUCCAAAUGUGUUGCUCUGCCUCACAGCACUUUUCUGCAAAGUCGAUUCCCUGAGCCUUGUGGGCUUGACGCAGAGAGGGUCAGAGGGAUCAGUCCCCUCUCACACAGCGCCGUGAUGAGAACGGGCUUGGGAUGCGGCGUCUGUGGGUUUGAUGGUUCUGGUCAGAACUGCUCUGUGGGUCUGGGCAUAGUGACGUGCACCUGUAGUCACGCCUCAGGAGGCUGAGGCUGGAGGAUAGCCCGGCCAACAUGGUGAAACCCCGUCUCUACUAAAGAUACAAAAAAUUGGCCAGGCGUGGUGGCUCGUGCCUGUAAUCCCAGCUACUUGGGAGGCUGAGGCAGGAGAGUUGCUUGAACCGGGAGGCAGAGGUUGCAGUGAGCCAAUACAGUUGGUCCUCCUAUCUACGGGUUCCACAUUUGCAGAUUCAACCAGCCAAGGAUCGAAAAUACUCAGAAAAAAAAUAAAAAACAACACAAUGAUAAAAAGUAGUAUAAAAAACAUAACUAUGUUAUAUCUAUAUCUAGCAUUUACAUUCUAUCAGGUAUUAUAACUAACCUAGAGACCAUCUAAAGCAUACAAGAAGAUGUGUCUACAAUAUACGGCACCAAUUUAAUCCGGGACUGGAGCAUCUGCAGACUUUGCUAUCCAAGGGGGGUCCUGAAACCAACCCCUAGAUACUGAGGGACCAACCCCCAGAUACUGAGGGAUGGCUGUCAUGUCAUGAGGUGUUCCCACAGUACCCACUGCGUGGCAUGCAACUGACAACGUUCUUACUUAAUCUGGCACCCAGGGCCACCCCUACUGGAGGGAUCCUUGCACCCUGAGGGGAAGGGGGAGGCUGUGUGGGGGCCCCACGCUUACCUUUGACCCCGAUCUGGCAAUCGUCCCCAGGUUGGACACCAGCUCUUCCUGUGUCAUCCCGAUACCAGUAUCCUGAGGAGAGAGACGCACUAAGUGCCAAGCCCCCAGCACCUGGGGAGCCGGGUGAGUGCACCAGCAGUCCCAGGGACUCAAGUGGUGUCAAUGACAUUGGCCAGACAGGGCCCAGCCAGGUAGCACCAGAUGCUCAUCAGAAAAGACUAAUUCUAGGGGCCGGGAGUGAUGGUUCAUGCCUGUAAUCCCAGCACUAUGGGAGGCCAAGGCAGGCGGAUCACUUGAGGCCAGGAGUUCAAGACCAGCCUGGCCAACAUGGUAAAACCCCAUCUCUACUAAAAAAGAAAUUAGCCAGGCAUGAUGGCGAGCACCUGUGGUUCCAGCUACUCGGAGGCUGAGGCAGGAAAAUUGCUUGAGCCCAGUGAACCCAGGAGGCAGAGACUGCAGUGAACUGAGAUUGCGCCACUGCACUCCAGCCUGGGUGACAGAGUGAGACUCCAUCUCAAAAAAAAAAAAAGAAAAAACGAAAAGACUAAUUCUAGUCAUAGCAGCUUGGCCUCACCAGAGAAAACAGGAAGGGACAGCAGAAAGUUGCUUUGUUUGUUAAAAACCAUUCCGAAAAGAAAAUAUUACACCAGCAAUUAGGAAAAGCACAGCUCUCCCACCAUCAAGAUGUGGCCCCCACGCCUUCUCCCUGGCUGUGGUUCUGGGGAACAGUGAUCCCCUCUGGUGGCUCUCUCAAUCCAGCAGAAUGAUCUGACUGAGGACACCAGGAAGCAGGUGUUGGGAACGCAGCUCUGCACGCGGCACCUACUCCCACCCUACCACCAUGGGAACAGCGGGCACAGACGCCUCUCCUGCGGGAAGGCAGAGCCCUUGCGUUGGAGCCUCUAUCUGGCCUAUCCUGUUGCAGCUGCUCUGCUCUGAGUGCCAGUGUCACCCAAAUCCAUAUAUUAAGACCUAAGUCCCAAGGGGAUGGCACUGGGAGGGGGGCCUUGGGGAGGUGAUCAAGUCACGACGGCUCCACUCUCAUGAAUGGGAGUAGGGCCCUUAGAAAACAGGCUUGAGGGAGCUUGCCUGCCCCUUCCACCUUCUGUAUGAAGAUGCAAGAGGCACUGCCUGAGUCAAAGGGCCCUCGCCAGAUGCCCAAUCUGCUGGCCCCUUGCUCUUGGACCUCCCAGCCUCUAGAACUGUAAGCAAUAGGGUUCUGUUGUUUAUAAAUUGCCCAGUCUAAGGUAUUCGGCUAUAGCAGCCUGAAUCACAAUACAGACCAACGCGCUGGUGAACACACAAGGCCUUACUGACCAUGGGCUCCUCCUUCCUCAAAGCCCAGUCAGACUCCCAUCUGCAGAUCCUCGCUCAACAUGCCCAUAAUGUAGCCACAGCCCCAGCUUGCUCUGCUAUGAUGUGCAGACCACCUUAAAUAAAAGAGCUCACUCCAAGCCUCCACAUCUAUGAAUUGGGACAAAGGCCCUCAGAAACAGUUUUCUGAACUUCCUUCUAGGAAGUUCCUUUCUAAAGACUUCCUCUCCAGGACAGCCUGCAGGAGCCAUGGGAGCCCACUAGCACCAGGCGCCAGUGCUGUCUCCAUUGGCAAAGCAAGGGUGGUCAGUGCCACUCAGCAAAUAAUCCACAGCAAGCAGCAGGCCAGGGAGACUGGCCAGCUGUCAGCCUUCCCAUUGUAGGCAGCACAGGCAGAAUGGGUGCCAAAACCACAUCACCACCAGUUACUGCAGUGCACACAUGUGUGCAUGUUUCACGGGCCCCAGCAGCCAACAAGAAACAUGGCACCAAGAGGCUUCUGGGCAAUUAUUUCUGAGGUGCCGGUUUGAAUAGUCCAAAAUCCAGCCUGAUUCAUUUAUUGUAGAUCAUGUAAUAAUUAUGAAUAAAAAACUACUUAAAAUUA